GACGAACGCUGGCGGCGUGCCUAAUAAAUGCAAGUCGAGCGAAUGGAUUAAGAGCUUGCUCUUAUGAAGUUAGCGGCGGACGGGUGAGUAACACGUGGGUAACCUGCCCAUAAGACUGGGAUAACUCCGGGAAACCGGGGCUAAUACCGGAUAACAUUUUGAACCGCAUGGUUCGAAAUUGAAAGGCGGCUUCGGCUGUCACUUAUGGAUGGACCCGCGCCGCAUUAUCUAGUUGGUGCGGUAACGGCCCACCAAGGCAACGAUGCGUGGCCGGCCUGAGAGGGUGCUCGGCCACACUGGGACUGAGACACAGCCCAGACUCCUACGGGAGGCAGCAGUAGGGAAUCUUCCGCAAUGGGCGAAAGUCUGACGGAGCAACGCCGCGUGAGUGAUGAAGGCUUUCGGGUCGUAAAACUCUGUUGUUAGGGAAGAACAAGUGCUAGUGGAAUAAGCUGGCACCUUGACGGUACCUAACCAGAAAGCCACGGCUAACUACGUGCCAGCAGCCGCCGUAA
rnacentral:rRNA from 1 species